CUUUAAAUAUUAUUUGCAGGCAAACAAAGUGCUGACAUUGGCUGCAGAAUUCCAUUAAAGUUUUAGAUGUUAGGAAAAAGAUCUAUGAGGUUAAAGUGGGUCUCAAGAUGUUGGCCCAAACUUGACAGAUUGAGGUUUAGAAUCGUCAGCAAAUCUUAAGUGGUAAAUAUAGGAGCCAAGUAGAUCAACUCAACUGAGGCAACAAAUUUGAAUGAGGAUUCAGCAUGGCCUCAAAAAAUCCUUAUAUCCCAAGAGAAGAAAGAGAACGUUGCAUGUGCAGGAAGAAAUUGCAAAGGAGCAACAACAACUGGGUUAUUGCUUCACCAUGUACCGAAGCUGGCACCUGCCACUGAUUGCUGAUGGGGCCACAGUUCAGAGCCUGCACACUGCCAUUAAAAGUCUAGCUUGGAAUGUCCUGGAUGAGCACAAGGACCACAGUGUUUCAUAGAUGUUCUGUGUUGUCCACAAUCAAUAGGAAAAGAGGAUGAUGUGCAGAAGAUGUGAGGAGUUUACUACUGUUUCAAGCAUUUUCCAGUUCCUGUACUCUGGUCAGUGAUGCCAAUCGUGAUUAUAGCAGAAUCAUUAUGUCCAGGUAACAGAGAUCAUACAUGGCUAUAUAAUCAAUCAGGCAAUGGAAUGAUUGUGACCUGCAAUGAUGGCUGUAAUAAUAUAUACAGCUGUUGAUAUGCUGCGUGGGAAGGAAUAAUUGAAGCUUUCUCUUUUAUUUCCCUGCUUUAUUUCUUGUCCCUCUCCUCUCUCCACCCUUCAAAGAUACAUGGUCCUUGAGAGAGAGAGAGAAAGAGAGAGAGAGAUGGAGGUGGGGGUAAGAUCCUCCUCCACUCCAAAAGAAAGGAAAAGAUGCAGAUGCAUGGCCCCCUUCACAUGGGAAAGAGUGCUCUUGUAUCAUAUGGGAAUUGCACAGGAGCCACUUCUCUUUUGCUUCUCUUCUUUCCCAAAGUUGCCUUCUUUGCUUCCUAGUGCUUCUACUUGACUCCUUUUUCCUCCUUUAGGCUUCGUGGAUUAUCUGGCUAAAGCUAAUCCACUCCCUUGCAUGCAUGGGUCACUUUGAAUUCAUCCAUGGCAUCUGAAACCUCCCUUUUAGGGUGGGGGGGUGCUCUGUGGCUAGUUGGUAAGCACCUCCUCCUCGAAGCCAAGGAGAAGAAGGGUAGCCAUUUGACAAGUCACCAUCUGAGACUUUUGUGACGGUGGUGUAAGAAGCAUGUGAAGUUUGCCACCAAGCAAUGUGAUGAAUGCUAGUGGAUUGAGAGAAGAUCCAAUGAGAUAUCUUGAAUGGCCACAUGAAAUGGUCAGUCGUGAUCUUGAUGCCCAUCUAAGAUCUUUCUCCAAUGGCAAAUGGCCCCUGAACAGUCUCUCUCUCUCUCUCUCUCUCUCUCUCUCUCUCUCUCUCUCUCUCUGUCAAGUGCAGAGAAGCAAGAACUACCUUGUCGGGCAACGGUAAACCUCUCCGUUUCCUUCACAAGAGAUCAAACAGCAUGUAGCGACAAUUCAAGCAGGACGAUAGGGAAGAAAUGAAGUCACGAGACUCGCAAGACAACCACAAGAAGAACAGAAGACGGAAAGCAUAGUUUUCUAGAUGGAUGAUUGGACAUCGAGUGAGUACAAGAGACAAAUCAAACUAGUAAGUAAUGUGCCCAUCAUUUUCGAUAUCAGCACGUCGAUCACCGCACCCCAUGCAGUGGUGCUGCCUGCGACAAAGCCGGUCUUCAGUUCAAGGAGAGAAGGAAUGACCGCCAAAGGCCUUCAAAAGCCGAGGCACUAACACAGGCCUCUUUAGCUUUAACUAAAGAAUGGUGCGCUUCGCCUCACACCCCUCAUUUUACACUGGGAAAGCAGGCGAUGAACGUGCUCGGCCAAAGGAAAAGACAAAAAGAGAGAAAGAGAGCUUCGAAUUAAAGAGGAGGAGAAAACAAAGCGAGAACACAUCAUUCUUUUCUUCCCUCCAUUCUUUGAAGAGAUCAUCGCUCUGGCUCGGAGGACAAGAGAGGAUCUUUGGAAGGAAUCAACAUGUCGAAGCUGAACACUUCACAUCACACAGAGAAACUCGUAUUGAUUGCUUGUAACGAGAUGGACAUCUGCUUCUUUCUCGCUCGAGCUUUGCCACUUUGAACUCAGUGGAAGAAUCCUCGCCUUUUCCUUUUGUCUUGUGCCGCUUCUUUGGAGUUGCAACGUCCACAGCAUGCUUUGUUCACGUUGCAAAAGGAGCCACCGCUGCAAAAGAGACACUCAAGGAGGCGACGAGCAGUGCGAACAAGAUUAGAGAUAAUGCAUGGGCAAGAAAUGAUCAAACAAUAAUUAGCGUAAAAUAUAGGAGGUGAUGAGUAGUGUCUUCUUUCCGUUUUUUAAGGUGCUCGAGUCCAAGCAUCUUCUUUCCGUUCUAAAAGCAUAUGAUAGUGGAAUGCCGAUUUGGGUCUACACAAUCCCACUAGUUUAGCUUCAUGGAUUAUGGAGACACUGCUGUCGAAGAAAAAGAUGAUUAUGGACUCGACCACACCAGUCUUUUUUGUGCUCAUAGAAACUAACAUCAAUCGAUCAGACAAUGAUGUGAUGGAGCAUUUGUCAUCAUUUCUAGCAUUAUUAGCUAAGUCACAGAUGAUGGAUCACCGAAGGCUGCCUCGCCUGUGUUGUUCCAUCAUGCUGCUGUCAGGCAGCCUUCGGAAAAGGGUUGACAACCAUCAAUAAUGUUGAAACAGUGGAAGUAUCAGUCUCAUUCAUGUCAUAUCUGCAUCUCGAGUGGCAUAUCGACAAUCACACUCUUUCCACCACCGUGGCUGAUUCUGAUCUCGUCUCCUUCCAUGGGUGGAUGCAUUGCAAUUGCACAAGAGUCAAUUUCAGAUGAAGAAUCUCGUUAUCUUAACGUAUGCUAAGAUGCACCAUUAUACACUGCUCGAAACCUGCCUAGAAAUUGAAGGAGGUGCGGAAACUGAGAGGGAUUGAAUCGUCUGACAAGGUGAUCAAUGCUUUUGGCCCCUGGAGAAAUGGCACAAGGCAAAGCAUUAAUGAAGGGAGAAGAAGAGCCGGCUGCCUCAUCUGCUAAUUGCAGCAACUGCCGCUGCCGGAAACUGACUCCAUCAGUUCAUCAAGGCGAGCAGAGACUGGCAGCACGGUACCUAAGCCUUCUUUGAACAGGAACAGGAACAGGUCAUGGAUCUCGAAAGUUUGGAAAGCUGCCUCCUGCUGCAGGUCUUCACUGGAAGAGACAACAUAAGUACUUGGGACAGAUUGCGGACCCUUUUGGUGUCAUUUACCAGUUCAUGCAGAAAUUAUGGUCAGAUGCUCUUCUACUUUGUCAGAGUGGAGAUUCUGUACAAGAUUUGGAUACAGUGCUCGGUCAUCAGUGUCAAAUAAAUUAACAUUCAAAGAUGUUCUUGCACUGAAUUCUGAUGGGUAAUUACAGUAUUUUUUUUAGACAUUUUAUCCUAAAAUCCUAAUAUUUA